AAUUAUGGUGGACUGGAUAGGGGCGCUUUGGCGCACCGUUUCUUGUGAGCGGCUGUCUCAAACCUGUCCGGUUCGCCACUCAA
rnacentral:antisense_RNA from 1 species